UACGUAGGGGGCAAGCGUUGUCCGGAAUCAUUGGGCGUAAAGAGCGCGUAGGCGGUGUGUCGCGUCGGCCGUGAAAACCUGCAGCUUAACUGUGGGCUUGCGGUCGAUACGGGCAUCACUGGAGUUCGGCAGGGGAGACUGGAAUUCCUGGUGUAGCGGUGAAAUGCGCAGAUAUCAGGAGGAACACCGGUGGCGAAGGCGGGUCUCUGGGCCGAUACUGACGCUGAGGAGCGAAAGCGUGGGGAGCGAACAGG
rnacentral:rRNA from 1 species